CGCGAUCACUCCUACGGGGAGCAGCAGUAGGGAAUCUUCCACAAUGGGCGCAAGCCUGAUGGAGCAACACCGCGUGAGUGAAGAAGGGUUUCGGCUCGUAAAGCUCUGUUGUUAAAGAAGAACACGUAUGAGAGUAACUGUUCAUACGUUGACGGUAUUUAACCAGAAAGUCACGGCUAACUACGUGCCAGCAGCCGCGGUAAUACGUAGGUGGCAAGCGUUAUCCGGAUUUAUUGGGCGUAAAGAGAGUGCAGGCGGUUUUCUAAGUCUGAUGUGAAAGCCUUCGGCUUAACCGGAGAAGUGCAUCGGAAACUGGAUAACUUGAGUGCAGAAGAGGGUAGUGGAACUCCAUGUGUAGCGGUGGAAUGCGUAGAUAUAUGGAAGAACACCAGUGGCGAAGGCGGCUACCUGGUCUGCAACUGACGCUGAGACUCGAAAGCAUGGGUAGCGAACAGGAUUAGAUACCCUGGUAG
rnacentral:rRNA from 1 species